rnacentral:piRNA from 1 species
UCAAACAUUUGUUUGCUGACACGAGAGAAC